CAGGAGGUUGGCUUAGAAGCAGCCAUCCUUUAAAGAAAGCGUAAUAGCUCACUGGUCGAGUCGGUCUGCGCGGAAGAUGUAACGGGGCUAAACUAUGCACCGAAGCUGCGGAUUCAGAAUUUAUUUUGAGUGGUAGGGGAGCGUUCUGUAAGCGGUUGAAGGUGUACCGGGAGGUAUGCUGGACGUAUCAGAAGUGCGAAUGCUGACAUGAGUAACGAUAAUGCGGGUGAAAAACCCGCACG
rnacentral:rRNA from 1 species